GCUGCCUGCAAGAAAAUGCUGUGUAUUCAGUGGCUUCCUCAAUAAGCAGAUCAGUUAAUGAUUUGUUAUGUGAAAAAAUGUAAUAAUGCAGAGAUUGGUAAGUGUGGAAAGGCACAGCUGAGCGUGUGGUUAUAGGCAGCAGGUUGUGCUGGAGCAAAAAGGGACAGCCACCUCCUUAAAGAGGUUUCUGUGCUCCAGAUAAGACUUCAGCUUUCAGCUCAGGCUAGGAGAUCUACCCAGGUAGCAGAGUGAGCAGUCCUGCUCAGUGCCACAGCUGCUCAGCCCACAUCUGGGAAAUAAGGAGCCAGGUGGGGAAACAUUUGCUUUAUGGCUUCUGCCAGGACUCAGAUCAGGUCCAAGCACCAUCAUUGCCAAAGGCACACUUUUGGUAUGGACAGCAGUGGCAGAAGACUAAAUACAGCCUGUGAAGCACAUAACAAAAAUCAAAGUCUGAGAGCUGUUGGAAAAACUGACAGCUAUAUGCAUGCAUGAGCAGACCUGAAAGAAGCAGGAGACCUAAGAGGGGGAUGGCACAUUGCAUAACUAUCCCAUCACUUUGGGGGUAAAUGCUGUGCUGGCCACUGAGUGCCACCAAGACUGUCAGAGCUCC